rnacentral:misc_RNA from 1 species
AAAAAAGUCAAAGCCAGUAACUUUUGAGACUUUGAGCAUGCAAGAGACCAGAAUUAGAAAGCAAGAUUUGCAAACAUGUUUGCAUGAAAGUCUACACUUAACAAAUCUCAAGUCAUAGAUUAUCUAACACAGCCAUUAAAGUACAACUUAUGCACAUUACAUCCAUACACUCAAACAUCAUUCAAAUUUAUCAAACUUGCAUUCCAUUUGGAAGACAAGAUGAGGUAUAUUAUGUUUAUAACACAUAACUAAUAAAUAGAGAGGAUUUGAGUCCAUGAGACCAUAAUUGAAAUGCUUAUCGAGUAAUAAAUGGGAAAAAAAA